GGAGCCCCAAUCAAAGUAGUUCAAGAUGACCUAAUCCUCUUCUGGCUUCCUGAAAUCUCUGUUCUGGGUCACAGUCCUUUUGUCAUCUGGCUGACAGACCCCAGCAGGCUGGGAUAAACAAGCUCUUGCUGAUUGCACAUAUGUUCAUAACUAUGCCUCAGUAGAGACCCGCGUGAAUCUCUUGGAGCACAUAUUUGACCCUUCAUCUGGCAAUGGAUGGAGAUAGAGACAGAGACCCACAAUGGAGCAAUGGACUGAGCUCCCAAGGUCCAAAUGAGGAACAGAAGGAGGGAGAACAUGAUCAAGGAAGUCAAGACCGCAAGGGGGGCACGCAGCCACUGAGACGGUGGGGCUGAUGGGAACUCACCAAGGCCAGCUGGACUGGGACUGAAAAAGCAUGUGAUCAAACCGGACUCUUUAAAUAUGGCUGACAAUGAGGGCUGCUGAGAAGCCAAGGACAAUGGCACUGGGUUUUGAUACUACUGGCUUUGUGGGAGCCUAGUCUGUUUGGAUCCUCACCUUCCUA